rnacentral:lncRNA from 1 species
CACCAAAUAAUACUAAAAUUCGAAUAAAAUCCAAACAUAAAUAUUUUCAAACACAACACAAAAACUAUUCUAAUUUGCAACUGAACCCUAUCAUUCCCGUUUUGAUGUCUUUCUUAUCUUGGAAUUCUUUAUGUGUGAGAUUCGUUGCAUAUGAUCAACAUCAAUCUUUGAAACAAUCCUAUAGCCUUCUGCAACACGAAUUAGAUGAAUGUCAGUUUCCAACCAUACUGAACAACUACAAUUGAUAUGAGCCAUAUCCAUAUGAAUAUCCAUGUUAAAAAAAAAAAAAGAAUUAUCCAUGUUACUUCAUGUAGAACAAAAGACCAAUCAAUCAAACCCUAAUAAACAAUUAAAAGAAUUCAUGAAAAAAUAAAGAAAUCACUCCAUCUUCUUCUCCCCUGUAACUCUAACCUAUGUAAAUAUUACAUCUCAAUUUCAUGAUUUUAGCAUAUAAAUAGACAAUUUCAUCAUAUAUAAAGGAGAUAAACAAACAAUUUCAGCAAACAAACAAUUUUAGCAGCUAUACAACCAAUUUUAUCAAAAAAAGGAAGAACAUAUCACAUACCUGAAGAGGUGCAUGAGCUUUGACUAGUGAGUAAGGUCUUGAUUUGCCUCUUAACUCGUUUCUGUGUCUUGUUCCUGUGGUUAAUCUCAUCAUCAACAUCCAUGUAUCAAAAAAACAUUUAUUAUUCAUUGAAAUUGAAACGUAGAGAGAGUAAAACAUACAGGGGUUCUCGGACCAAAUCGUCUGAAUUAUCGCGGUCGCUGAGGUAUAGAUUGAACACGUCGAUGAUGGCUGGUCAUGUCGGGUGGAAUUGGAAAGCCCUGGCAGCGGCAGCUCGGUGGUGACUCUGAUCCCCCAUAUCUGCCAGGUUUGGUGAUUGAGUGGUGAUGGAUGUUAAAGGACACCACCACUACUAGCUACCGGAGCUCUGAACAUAUACCGUCGCCGUUGUCCCCAAUAAAUUUAAUUGUAUCGAACUGUGGAGGGUUUUAGAAUUUGAGGAAGAUGGAGGGGUUCAUUACCGGUGGAAAAGGCGGCGCAAGCAGAGGCGGUGAUCGGUUGAUAGAGUCGAUUUCAGGGAAGGUCGACGACGGGAGGAGGUCGGAGGAGGUGAUCGACGCUCUACAGGGUCGGAGGUGGGAGGAGACAGAAGAGAAGAUAUGAACGUGGGGAUUUUAUUUUGGAGGCGGGCAUAUCAACAGCAUCGUAUGAGGGUAAAAGAGGG